rnacentral:rRNA from 1 species
UAUUUUAAAGAGAGUUUGAUCCUGGCUCAGGACGAACGCUGGCGGCGUGCCUAAUACAUGCAAGUCGAACGAACGGACGAAGAGCUUGCUCUUCCAAAGUUAGUGGCGGACGGGUGAGUAACACGUGGGCAACCUGCCUGUAAGUUGGGGAUAACUCCGGGAAACCGGGGCUAAUACCGAAUGAUAAAGUGU